rnacentral:rRNA from 1 species
UGGCUCAGAACGAACGCUGGCGGCGCGCUUAACACAUGCAAGUCGAACGAGAAAGCAGGGGCAACCCUGUGAGUAUAGUGGCGUACGGGUGAGUAACACGUGGGUAAUCUACCCUUUAGUGGGGAAUAACGCUGGGAAACCGGCGCUAAUACCGCAUAAUCUCGCGAGAGGAAAGUCGCAAGACGCCGAAGGAGGAGCCCGCGGCCGAUUAGCCAGUUGGUGAAGUAAAAGCUCGGCAAAGCAAAGAUCGGUAGCCGGCCUGAGAGGGCACACGGCCACACUGUGCACUGAAACACGAGCCAGACUCCUACG